UACGUAGGGUGCGAGCGUUGUCCGGAAUUAUUGGGCGUAAAGAGCUUGUAGGCGGUUUGUCGCGUCUGCUGUGAAAAUCCGGGGCUCAACCCCGGACCUGCAGUGGGUACGGGCAGACUAGAGUGUGGUAGGGGAGACUGGAACUCCUGGUGUAGCGGUGAAAUGCGCAGAUAUCAGGAAGAACACCGAUGGCGAAGGCAGGUCUCUGGGCCAUUACUGACACUGAGGAGCGAAAGCAUGGGUAGCGAACAGGAUUAGAUA
rnacentral:rRNA from 1 species